GCCUGGGUGGCUCAGUCGGUUAAGUGUCUGACUUCGGCUCAGGUCAUGAUCUUACAGUCUGUGGGUUCGAGCCCCGCGUCGGGCU
rnacentral:tRNA from 1 species